UCAAGAGUGUGUCCCACACAGGGCAUAGUAAUGUGGCUCCUGUUCACGGGGCCUUGCCAACACUUGUGGGCAGAGCAGAAGCUCCUGGCCCACCCCAAGCCAGCAGACACCUUUGCAGUCAAGUAGUAGGGUAGCAGGACGCCCACACAGUCUUUGUCCAUACUUCCUGCCCACUAUUUUUCAAAUGUUUCUGUCCUUGGUGGCUUAAGUCUGAAGAUACAGUGCCUGCAGAUACAGAGAUGGAGGGCCAGCUGUGUUUCAAGAAGAAGGCAAAGUAACAAGCAUAGUGUUGGGCAACCUGUGCCCACCCCGCCUCAGCCUGACCACACAUCCUGUGACCUGGCCCCGUGACCUCUGCCAUCUAAGGGAGGAAGUGGCCACAGUUGUCAUUGUCAGGUGACCACCACAGAGACUCUCAGAAUCUUCCCUUUCUACUCCUGCAUUUGAGCACCAAGCCUCGGGAACAGGUUAGCACAGAAAGAAGCAAGGAGUCUUGGAAGGAUGACUGACCACCUUGCAGGCCGUGUCGUUCACCUGCCCUGCACCCUUGACCUCCAGCUGCUUGGUGCCCAAAGCUUGUAGUUUGUCCUCCUAAGGUCGUGGCAUAGUCCGUGGACCUGUCCUGUCCUGUCCGAGAUCGCAGCUUCUUGUGUGUGGGGGCACAGUUCCUUCUCUGUCCCUGAGGUUUCUGGCUAAGCCUAAGAAUUAAACAGACCCAAGACAGAUGCACAGGAGAAAGGCAUACACAUUUUACUUAGUUAAAUUUAUACAGACACAGAAGUCUUUAUAAGAAAAAUUUGGACUUGGAAAAGCAGUUAAAACUGAACACUCUAGGUUGA